CUCCGCCGUGAGCCUGUAACCGACUAUUACAUCAGCGCUUUAUUAACAGUACAACAAACAAACAACGACGGGGCCCGAAGCCCUCCGGAAGGAUAAAAGGUCGCAAACCGGACCGCAGCGGCAUUGCCUCUCGUAUCAUAACAAGGAUAAGUUACAGGAAAAGAGCAGAACAACGCCCGCAUCUUGCGUUUAUCUCAAAGCCCGAAAGCCAUUCUUCUUAGCUUUCUUCUCGCUUUCAGAUCGAGCUAGCCAAUAACCCGUACGUAGCACGCAAGCACCACCAACUGCUAAUAAAAAUGCCAAAUGUGCGUCUGUUUGCCACCCGCCUGCUGACUCUUGACCGGUGCAUUGAGAACCGAGAACCGAGAACCGAGCACCGAACACCGGGCACCGAGCACCAAUAGUUGGCAAUUGACACUCUGAAGCUAUUUUUUCAUUUUCCCGCCGACCUCUUGUGUGCUAAUGAUCUGCGUAUUUGCGCGGGAUGUCUGACACAAGCACACAACUCUGCACCCAGCAGAGCGCGCGUUGGGCAUUGGCUUAUUUUCGUGUUCCUUUUCCCAUUCCUUGCACAGAAACGGCUUCGGGUUCGGCGUCUUUGAAGAUUGUCGAAGAAGAGAUUCGGCGCGUCGGCGAAAUAGGGUAAAGGACAAGGCGCACCUGCGGCAGGAAGGAGGUAGUCACCUA
rnacentral:sRNA from 1 species